UUGACCUCAAAUCAGGUAGGACUACCCGCUGAACUUAAGCAUAUCAAGGACUACCCGCUGAACUUAAGCAUAUCAA
rnacentral:rRNA from 1 species